rnacentral:rRNA from 1 species
UACGUAGGGUGCAAGCGUUAUCCGGAAUUAUUGGGCGUAAAGAGCUCGUAGGCGGUUUGUCGCGUCUGCUGUGAAAACCCGAGGCUCAACCUCGGGCCUGCAGUGGGUACGGGCAGACUAGAGUGCGGUAGGGGAGAAUGGAAUUCCUGGUGUAGCGGUGGAAUGCGCAGAUAUCAGGAGGAACACCAAUGGCGAAGGCAGAUCUCUGGGCCGUAACUGACGCUGAGGAGCGAAAGCAUGGGGAGCGAACAGG